GACGAACGCUGGCGGCGUGCUUAACACAUGCCAGUCGAACGGGUCUGCCCUGUUUUUUGCGGGGUGGGUCAGUGGCGAACGGGUGAGUAACACGUGAGUAACCUGCCCCUCACUUCUGGAUAACCGCUUGAAAGGGUGGCUAAUACGGGGUGUUCUGGCUGUGCCGCAUGGUGUGGCUGGGAAAGAUUCACUUUUGUGGUGUUUUGGUGGGGGAUGGGCUCGCGGCCUAUCAGCUUGUUGGUGGGGUGAUGGCCUGCCAAGGCUUUGACGGGUAGCCGGCCUGAGAGGGUGGGCGGUCACACUGGGACUGAGAUACGGCCCAGACUCCUGCGGGAGGCAGCAGUGGGGGGUAUUGCACAAUGGGCGGAAGCCUGAUGCAGCGGCGUCGCGUGAGGGAUGGAGGCCUUCGGGUUGUGAACCUCUUUCGCCGGUGAAGAAGGUCCUGCUCUUUGUGGUGGGGUUGACGGUAGCCGGGUUAUGAAGCGCCGGCUAACUACGUG
rnacentral:rRNA from 1 species